rnacentral:rRNA from 1 species
GACGAACGCUGGCGGCGUGCCUAACACAUGCAAGUCGAACGGAGCUUAAGUGGAAGCUUGCGAAAUUUAAGCUUAGUGGCGGACGGGUGAGUAACGCGUGGAUAACCUGCCCAUAAAGCCGGGAUAACGCCGGGAAACUGGUGCUAAUACCGGAUACGCUCCGAGUAACGCAUGUUACACGGAGGAAAGGCGAAAGCCGAUUAUGGAUGGGUCCGCGUCCCAUUAGCUGGUUGGCGGUGUAAAAGACCACCAAGGCGACGAUGGGUAGCCGGCCUGAGAGGGCGAACGGCCACACUGGGACUGAGACACGGCCCAGACUCCUACGGGAGGCAGCAGUGGGGAAUCUUCCGCAAUGGGCGAAAGCCUGACGGAGCAACGCCGCGUGAGUGACGAAGGCCUUCGGGUCGUAAAACUCUGUCUUUGGGGACGAUAAUGACGGUACCCAAGGAGGAAGCCACGGCUAACUACGUGCCAGCAGCCGCGGUAAUACGUAGGUGGCGAGCGUUGUCCGGAUUUACUGGGCGUAAAGGGUGCGUAGGCGGAUGAUUAAGUCAGAUGUGAAAUACCAGGGCUCAACCCUGGGGCUGCAUUUGAUACUGGUUAUCUAGAGUGCAGGAAAGGAGAGCGGUAUUUCCUAGUGUAGCGGUGAAAU